AUUGAACGCUGGCGGCAGGCUUAACACAUGCAAGUCGAGCGGAGAUGAGGUGCUUGCACCUUAUCUUAGCGGCGGACGGGUGAGUAAUGCUUUGGAAUCUGCCUAUUAGUGGGGGACAACAUUCCGAAAGGAAUGCUAAUACCGCAUACGCCCUACGGGAGAAAGCAGGGGAUCUUCGGACCUUGCGCUAAUAGAUGAGCCUAAGUCGGAUUAGCUAGUUGGUGGGGUAAAGGCCUACCAAGGCGACGAUCUGUAGCGGGUCUGAGAGGAUGCUCCGCCACACGGGGCAUGAGACACGGCCCGGAGUCCUACGGGAGGCAGCAGUGGGGAAUAUUGGACAAUGGGGGGAACCCUGAUCCAGUCAUGCCGCGUGUGUGAAGAAGGCCUUAUGGUUGUAAAGCACUUUAAGCGAGGAGGAGGCUACUGAGACUAAUACUCUUGGAUAGUGGACGUUACUCGCAGAAUAAGCACCGGCUAACUCUGUGCCAGCCGCCGCAGUAAAAC
rnacentral:rRNA from 1 species